UGGGGAAUAUUGGACAAUGGGCGCAAGCCUGAUCCAGCCAUGCCGCGUGUGUGAAGAAGGCCUUUCGGUUGUAAAGCACUUUAAGCGAGGAGGAGGCUACUUGGAUUAAUACUCUAAGAUAGUGGACGUUACUCGCAGAAUAAGCACCGGCUAACUCUGUGCCAGCAGCCGCGGUAAUACAGAGGGUGCGAGCGUUAAUCGGAUUUACUGGGCGUAAAGCGUGCGUAGGCGGCUUCUUAAGUCGGAUGUGAAAUCCCUGAGCUUAACUUGGGAAUUGCAUUCGAUACUGGGAAGCUAGAGUAUGGGAGAGGAUGGUAGAAUUCCAGGUGUAGCGGUGAAAUGCGUAGAGAUCUGGAGGAAUACCGAUGGCGAAGGCAGCCAUCUGGCCUAAUACUGACGCUGAGGUACGAAAGCAUGGGGAGCAAACAGG
rnacentral:rRNA from 1 species